rnacentral:rRNA from 1 species
GUCUACGGCCAUACCACCCUGAACGCGCCCGAUCUCGUCUGAUCUCGGAAGCUAAGCAGGGUCGGGCCUGGUUAGUACUUGGAUGGGAGGAAGAAAGAAAAUCUAAACA